AUUGAACGCUGGCGGCAGGCCUAACACAUGCAAGUCGAACGAGUGGCGGACGGGUGAGUAAUGUCUGGGAAACUGCCUUAUGGAGGGGGAUAACCACUGGAAACGGUAGCUAAUCCCGCAUCCCAUCAGAUGUGCCCAGAUGGGAUUCGCUAGUUGGUGGUGUAACGGCUCACCAAGGCGACGAUCCCUAGCUGGUCUGAGAGGAUGAACAGCCACACGUGAACUGAGACACGGUCCAGAGUCCUAAGGGAGGCAGCAGUGGGGAAUAUUGCACAAUGGGCGCAAGCCUGAUGCAGCCAUGCCGCGUGUAUGAAGAAGGCCUUCGGGUUGUAAAGUACUUUCAGCGGGGAGGCGUUACCCGCAGAAGAAGCACCGGCUAACUCCGUGCCAGCAGCCGCGGUAAUUC
rnacentral:rRNA from 1 species